UGCGGCUGGAACACCUCCUUUCUAGAGACAAAAAAAAGAAAAUAGACCCUUACUCUCGCUGUUAAUUCAAAAAAAAAAAGACUUAAAAUACAGAGUCUCGUAGCUCAGCUGGUUAGAGUACUACACUGAUAAUGUAGGGGUCGGCAGUUCGAGUCUGCCCGGGACUACAAACAAAUUUGAAAAUUGAUUAAUUUGAAAAUUUAAAAAAAUUAAGUUUAAAAGGAAAUUCUAGAAGCGAAUUUUGAAUUAUAAAUUUUAAAUCAUGAAUUUGAAAAAUAAUUCAAAAUAUAUAAAUCAACAUUCAAAAUAGAAAAAGAAUGGGGGAUUAGCUCAGCUGGCUAGAGCGCCUGCCUUGCACGCAGGAGGUCAUCGGUUCGACUCCGAUAUUCUCCACCAAAUUGAUUUGAAAAUGAAUUGAUUUCAAAAUUUGAAAAUGAAUAACAUCUUCAAAUUAACGAAUCAUGAAAUCUUCAAAUUGAAUAAAGUUCAUUGACAUAUUGAGAUAAACAUACAAACAAGUAGAAAGAACACUUUAGUAAUUAGUACAGAGUGAAUAGUAAUUAGUCUUAGGGCUAGUCACUAAUUACUAAGAACUAAUCACUAAAAAAAAGAAAACAAUAAGCAAAAUAAGGGCGUAUGGGGAAUCUAGAUGC
rnacentral:tRNA from 1 species